rnacentral:misc_RNA from 1 species
GGUCAAAAAUGUGUUCAUCAAUGAUCCUUACAUUUGCUUUCACGUUUGUAAACAUAAGUUUCUUUAUGAACUGUAGUGCUUGAAAUUUAGUGGUAGUUUUAGAUUUAAGAUUAAAUUAUCAAAUUUUAGUGCUAGAUUUUUAGUUGUAGUCUUAGACUUUUUAAGAUUUUGAAAGUUUUAAAAAGAUAAUGUAUAUUUCUCUUUUUGCUUGCCUUAAUCAGAAAUUAAAGAUUAAAAUAUAUCUUUGUGCGAUUUGUAUUAGUUAUUAUACAUGUGUAUUUUAAAAAUUACGCUGUCUUUAAAAGUGUUUAAAACCAAGUUAUGGUUUUUGGCCGGGAAUCCAAGUUUUAUUUUACCAACAUCUUAUGUCAACAGAGUUUGUCAAAAAUGCAUGUAAAUAAUCAAAAAUAUAUUAUAUAUAUUUCAAAAUUAUCAAAAUACAGCUGUUUAAAUUUCCAUGAAGUAGUUUUAAAAAAAAGAUAAUUAUGAUACCUGUGAUACUAUCAUCAGGGUUUGCAAAAUAAAUGAUGAGUAACUUU